rnacentral:rRNA from 1 species
AUUGAACGCUGGCGGCAUGCCUUACACAUGCAAGUCGAACGGUAACAGGUCUUCGGAUGCUGACGAGUGGCGAACGGGUGAGUAAUACAUCGGAACGUGCCCAGUAAUGGGGGAUAGCCCGGCGAAAGCCGGAUUAAUACCGCAUACGCCCUGAGGGGGAAAGUGGGGGACCGCAAGGCCUCACGUUAUUGGAGCGGCCGAUGGCUGAUUAGCUAGGUGGUGGGGUAAAGGCUCAACAAGGCGACGCUCAGUAGCUGGUCUGAGAGGACGAUCAGCCACACUGGGCCGGAGACACGGCCCAGACGCCUACGGGAGGCAGCAGUGGGGAAUUUUGUACAAUGGUGGCAACCCUGCUCCAGCAAUGCCUCGUGUGCGAAGAAGGCCUUCGGGUUGUAAAGCACUUUUGUCAGGGAAGAAAUCCUUUGGGCUAAUACCCUAGGGGGAUGACGGUACCUGAAGAAUAAGCACCGGCUAACUACGUGCCAGCCGCCGCCGUAA